rnacentral:rRNA from 1 species
CAAUAGCGUAUAUUAAAGUUGUUGCGGUUAAAGCUACGUAGUUGGAUUUCUGCUGAGGACGACCGGUCCGCCUCUGGGUGAGUAUCUGGCUUGGCCUUGGCAUCUUCUUGGAGAACGUAGCUGCACUUGACUGUGUGGUGCGGUAUCCAGGACUUUUACUUUUGAGGAAAUUAGAGUGUUUCAAGCAGGCACACGCCUUGAAUACAUUAGCAUGGAAUAAUAAGAUAGGACCUUGGUUCUAUUUUGUUGGUUUCUAGAGCUGAGGUAAUGAUUGAUAGGGAUAGUUGGGGGUGCUAGUAUUCAGCGGCCAGAGGUGAAAUUCUUGGAUUCGCUGAAGACUAACUUAUGCGAAAGCAUUCACCAAGGAUGUCUUCUUUUAAUCAAGAACGAAAGUUGGGGAGUCGAAGACGAUCAGAUACCG